rnacentral:rRNA from 1 species
UACGUGGGGGGCUAGCGUUGUUCGGAAUUACUGGGCGUAAAGGGCGCGUAGGCGGUCUGCUAUGUUGGAUGUGAAAACUCUGGGCUUAACCCAGAGCCUGCAUUCAAUACUGACAGGCUAGAGUUCUGGAGGGGAUAGCGGAAUUCCUGGUGUAGCGGUGAAAUGCGUAGAUAUCAGGAGGAACACCGGUGGCGAAGGCGGCUAUCUGGACAGAGUCUGACGCUGAGGCGCGAAAGCGAGGGGAGCAAACAGG